GUGGCCUAGUGGUUAGAGCGUCCGCCUCUGAUGCGGGAGGUCGUGGGUUAAAACCCCGGUCAAGUCA